rnacentral:rRNA from 1 species
UAAACCUGGUUGAUCCUGCCAGUAGUCAUAUGCUUGUCUCAAAGAUUAAGCCAUGCAUGUCUAAGUAUAAGCACCUUAUACUGUGAAACUGCGAAUGGCUCAUUAAAUCAGUUAUGGUUUAUUUGAUGGUACCUUACUACUUGGAUAACCGUAGUAAUUCUAGAGCUAAUACAUGCAGGCAGUCCCGACUUUUG